rnacentral:rRNA from 1 species
CCUACGGGUGGCUGCAGUGGGGAAUAUUGCACAAUGGGGGAAACCCUGAUGCAGCGACGUCGCGUGAGUGAUGAAGUAUUUCUGUAUGUAAAGCUCUAUCAGCAGGGAAGAAAAUGACGGUACCUGACUAAGACGCCCCGGCUAACUACGUGCCAGCAGCCGCGGUAAUACGUAGGGGGCAAGCGUUAUCCGGAUUUACUGGGUGUAAAGGGAGCGUAGACGGCGGUGCAAGCCAGAUGUGAAAGCCCGGGGCUCAACCCCGGGACUGCAUUUGGAACUGUGCUGCUGGAGUGUCGGAGAGGCAGGCGGAAUUCCUAGUGUAGCGGUGAAAUGCGUAGAUAUUAGGAGGAACACCAGUGGCGAAGGCGGCCUGCUGGACGAUGACUGACGUUGAGGCUCGAAAGCGUGGGUAGCAAACAGGAUUAGAUACCCGGGUAGUC